rnacentral:rRNA from 1 species
AUUGAACGCUGGCGGCAUGCCUUACACAUGCAAGUCGAACGGCAGCACGGGAGCAAUCCUGGUGGCGAGUGGCGAACGGGUGAGUAAAGUAUCGGAACGUGCCCAGUCGUGGGGGAUAACGUAGCGAAAGUUACGCUAAUACCGCAUACGAUCUAUGGAUGAAAGCGGGGGAUCGCAAGACCUUGCGCGAUUGGAGCGGCCGAUAUCAGAUUAGGUAGUUGGUGGGGUAAAGGCUCACCAAGCCGACGAUCUGUAGCUGGUCUGAGAGGACGACCAGCCACACUGGGACUGAGACACGGCCCAGACUCCUACGGGAGGCAGCAGUGGGGAAUUUUGGACAAUGGGCGAAAGCCUGAUCCAGCCAUGCCGCGUGCAGGAUGAAGGCCUUCGGGUUGUAAACUGCUUUUGUACGGAACGAAAAGGUUUGGCCUAAUAAGCUGAGCUCAUGACGGUACCGUAAGAAUAAGCACCGGCUAACUACGUGCCAGCCGCCGCGGUAAUAC